GCCCAAGUGGCGGAAUUGGUAGACGCGCAUGCUUCAGGUGCAUGUGAGCUAACGCUCGUAGGAGUUCGAGUCUCCUCUUGGGCA
rnacentral:tRNA from 1 species